GAAGACAGAGUGAGCUCUGGAGAAAUGAGAGGUUCUACUGGCUUUGAAGAAGCAAGCUGCUAUGAUGUAAACUGACUAUGGAGAAGGCCACGUGACAGGGAAUUGGGUGUAGACUCUAGGAACUGAGGUCUUAAUCCUACAACUGCAAGGGGAUUAAAGUCUACCAACAACCACCUGGGCUUGGAAGAGGACCGCUGAUCUCCAGAUGAGAACGGAGCCUGACCAACACCUUGAGUGCCACCUUGUGAGACUCUGAGCAAAGACCCAGCUAAGCCACACUUAGACUCUUGACGUACAGAAAAUGUGAGAUAAGGAA
rnacentral:lncRNA from 1 species